CAGAUGGUGGGUGAGGGGUGAGAAAGAAGCUCCUAAGGAUGUCUCCUAAGGAUGACAUUCUAGAAAAUGGUCCUUGACAUGUUGCCAAUGGAUGCAAUUGUUCAAGUGAACCUCUUGAAAACACUCAGCGCUAGCCAGGCAACUGGAAGCAAUGCUGGAGAACAUGAGCCUGGGAUUCAGGGAGACCUGGUUUCAAGCCUGGUUCCACCCUUUACUGCCUCUGACCUUAGAAAUUUCUAACUUCUCUAAGCCUUCUCUCUGAGCUUCUGGUAGCCUUUUAACAAAUCCCAGUCCUGCUGAAGUUCACCUGGGUUUCCUCAUCUGCACACAGGAUUAAUACAAUGAUAACAAUACUUUCCUUGGAGGGUUGUCGUGGGCUCAGGCGCUUGACCUUGUGCACAGACAAAUCCUCAGUUUUUGAUGUGGCCUACUACACGAAGAACUUCAUUUUGGAUAAAAUGCCCGUAUCCUGGCUGCUUCAUCCUGCAGGCGGCAGGAUUUGGUUCCUUGUGGUUCCAGAUGGUGCCGGAUUUCCCCAUGUUGAGAAGAUAGCUCUCAGUUUGAUGUGGCAGUAUUUGCUGUGGUUAUGUCUUUCAACACACUUCCUGCUUUUCUUACAAAACAGAGACUGCUCAUCCCUCUCUUGGAGGCCACAGCCCAAAUGCUUAUAGGUUUAUUAGAGGGCCAACUUGAGCAGGCCUUGGGCACAUGUUCGGCCCCUCAGUGUGUGGCCUUUUUCUCUGCGAACAUCAGGGUUAAUCUAUUGUGGACUUUACUUUCUGUUGGAGUGAACGAUUGCAAUUCUGUGAGGGGAACAUGAGGUUUGCAGCAACUCACAGCUUCAGCUUUCAAGUGGAAAUCUUGUUUGGCUCCCCCCAGCAACAAGAGAAGAUAGAAUCCAGCCAUUUUUGUAGUCAAGAUUGCCUGGGUCACGUGAUCUCAAUGGCAAUGAUCAUAGUUGCUAGAAAUUCAGAGAUUCCUAAGCUACUGGAGCUGAAAAGGGCCGGAGAACUUCUAAAGGCAACUCCUCUAUGUUUCAGAGGUGGAAGUAGAAGUCCAGAGAGGUUAAAGGACUGGCCCAAGGUCACACAACUAGCCUGAUCUUCAUGGUCAUUGUGGAAUCAUUCCACAAAUAUUUUGGAUGCAUUUCUUUGCUUAGUCAUCCCCAUUUCCUACAACUUCUAACCACCAUAUGAUAAAAUAGUGUAUUAACCAUUUAUUUUUUUAGUGAAUUUUUGCCUUAUGGAAAUAACAAAAACCACGUUACAGAAUAAUUGGAAAAUAGAGGGGAAAAAAAUCACCCACACAAUAUUUGACCUGAUGUCUAUUUAACUAUUACUGUAAAAUCCUUUGGUAUUUUUCUUAUUUUGUUUUUUAAUUAUUAAAAUAUAGUUGCCUGGAGAUAAUAAUUUAAACAGUCUAGAAAGCCGUAAAAAGGAAGUCUUCUUCUCCACUCUUUUCCUAGUUUUCCUCCUAACAGGCAUCCUCUUUUGAUUGUUUCUCUCUCUUCUGGCAGCUGCCUUGGUUGAUAUUGCUAGGUAGCACACUACACGUGUGCCUUCAUUCAGCAGCUUUAAGCACUGCCCGUAGCCUUUUAGCUACGACAGGUGAGUAACUCACUCACUUAUCCACCGUCUUCUCCCACCUCCAAAUCACUGAUAGUUUUUAUAUCUUCCAAUGGUUAACUUUAU
rnacentral:lncRNA from 1 species